rnacentral:rRNA from 1 species
UGCAAGUCGUACGAAGAUCUUCGAUCUUAGUGGCGGACGGGUGAGUAACACGUGAGAAUCUACCCUUAGGAAGAGGAUAACAGCUGGAAACGGUUGCUAAUACUCUAUAUGCCGAGAGGUAAAAGGAUCUAUCCACCUUAGGAAGAGCUCGCGUCUGAUUAGCUUGUUGGCGGGGUAAUGGCCCACCAAGGCGACGAUCAGUAGCUGGUUUGAGAGGACGACCAGCCACACUGGGACUGAGACACGGCCCAGACCCCUACGGGAGGCAGCAGUGGGGAAUUUUCCGCAAUGGGCGAAAGCCUGACGGAGCAAUACCGCGUGAGGGAUGACAGCCUGUGGGUUGUAAACCUCUUUUCUCAAGGAAGAAGUUCUGACGGUACUUGAGGAAUAAGCAUCGGCUAACUCUGUGCCAGCAGCCGCGGUAAUACAGAGGAUGCAAGCGUUAUCCGGAAUCACUGGGCAUAAAGCGUCUGUAGGUUGCCAAUCAAGUCUGCUGUUAAAGACUAGGGCUUAACCCUGGGAAAGCAGUGGAAACUAGUCGGCUUGAGUGUGGUAGAGGUAGAGGGAAUUCCUAGUGUAGCGGUGAAAUGCGUAGAUAUUAGGAAGAACACCAAUGGCGAAAGCACUCUACUGGGCCACAACUGACACUGAGAGACGACAGCUAGGGGAGCAAAUGGGAUUAGAUACCCCAGUAGUCCUA